AUCCAGUAUGCAUAGAAAUAAACACAAAGGACGGGUGUUAUCUAGCUGAUCCAAAUUGUACGAGAAUAGAAGAAACCAACGAGGCGCCCAAAAUUGGAUAUAACAUCAUAUUCCCGGUAUUUAUCGUCGCUGUAUCCUACUUCAGUGUACAUCUGGUUCUACGCAGAUAAGUUUGGAGCAUAUACCACCUAAAUAUGAAAGGUCCAGGAUUCAUGAUAUGCGAAAAUGUGUCGUUCGGACCGAAAAUGUGUGAUGCAGGAUUGAAAUUAAGAACACGACAUUGUAAAAACUUUAUUAAAUAAAAUA